CUCUUACAAAGAGCUGUAUGCCAUCCUCGGUGGAGACUCCACACCCACCCCCCCAGCACUGUGAAUAUCUCUGAGGAGCCUGAGUCACAGGUCCCUGCCGUGAACAACAAGGAGGAGGUGGAAGAGGAGGGAUAUGGGAGACAGGUGACCAGGGGAAUCCUGCUGCACAGUGAGGACCUCUUUUUGAUUCCACCGCAAUCCAGCCAGUCCUGCCUGUUGAUCCCAGGCAAGCCCAUUGAAGGGGAAGAAGCCUUGGGUAAGUGUCUGUGAAUAAAUAUUUAAAUUAUGGGGGUGACAUCCCCAAAGUAGCAGGACAUUUUUAUUAAUUGACUCAUGUAGAAGAGGGAGUGGGACAACCAAGAGAGGUAGAGUUGCUAUCAGGUUUUCAUUCCCCUCUAGAGUUAGGCGAGGGGACCACGUGAAGCAGUUUGUUUAUGUACAGAGGGAUGUCCCUGGAAUCUUCCAUAGAGAUCUCAAUGAAACUUUCAUGACAGUCCUCUUCCAUUGUCGGCUGAAGGUUGCUAGGGAGGGCUGUCUUAUUUCUUCUUUCAUGCUGCUGCCAUUGUGACCUUCAGGGUCUCCUGCUCCACACCCAUGGAGCCAGAUAAGGAGGAGAAAAAGGAGAUCUCAGGAUGACCUCUGUAAUGAGAUCCUGCAAGCCUGUACUGCACCAUACCAUGAGCACUGGGCCUGGAGGAUGAACUGUGUGGACAGCCUGGAGAAGGAGCAAGUGGAGAAGAAAGGCUCAGGAGUCCCAGCAGGACAAAGAGAUGGAGAUGCACCAGGACAUAAUGGGGCUUCUCAGGCAGCAAACACAGAUCCUGCAGGUUCUGGUGCAGGUUUAACAAUCUCAGGCUCACGCCUCUCUGCAGCUCAUUGAGAGCCAAGCAUUAGGAACUUUCUACACCCCCCCGUCAACAUUCCAUGCGGAAUCAGGGGUCACUGCAGUACCCCUGCCACUCCACCCGGGGGCACAUGGAAAAACAAUCACAGCUUUACAUACACUGACCCGUGACAGCUACAGUCAGUGUAUUUGUAGCUGAAAUGGGCAUAAAUGUUUUUUCCCCUUCACAAGUUCUGUUCUCUUAAUAAAUUCAAUUUUGUUCCAUUUGUAAUGGAUUUGUUUUGAAAUUGCACAGGUUCUUUUUGCACUGAAUUUGUUACAGAAUAAAAUUCUAUUAUUUGUAA